GACGAACGCUGGCGGCGUGCUUAACACAUGCAAGUCGAACGGAAAGGCCCUGCUUUUGUGGGGUGCUCGAGUGGCGAACGGGUGAGUAACACGUGAGUAACCUGCCCUUGACUUUGGGAUAACUUCAGGAAACUGGGGCUAAUACCGGAUAGGAGCUCCUGCUGCAUGGUGGGGGUUGGAAAGUUUCGGCGGUUGGGGAUGGACUCGCGGCUUAUCAGCUUGUUGGUGGGGUAGUGGCUUACCAAGGCUUUGACGGGUAGCCGGCCUGAGAGGGUGACCGGCCACAGUGGGACUGAGAUACGGCACAGACUCCUGCGGGAGGGAGGAGUGGAGAAUAUUGCACAAGGGGCGGAAGCCUGAUGCAGCAACGCCGCGUGCGGUAUGACGGCCUUCGGGGUGUAAACCGCUUUCGCCUGUGACGAAGCGUGAGUGACGGUAAUGGGGAAAGAAGCACCGGCUAACUACGU
rnacentral:rRNA from 1 species